ACAGCAGUAGCCGCGGUAAUACGAAGGGUGCAAGCGUUAAUCGGAAUUACUGGGCGUAAAGCGUGCGUAGGUGGUGGUUUAAGUCCGUUGUGAAAGCCCUGGGCUCAACCUGGGAAUUGCAGUGGAUACUGGGUCACUAGAGUGUGGUAGAGGAUAGUGGAAUUUCCGGUGUAGCAGUGAAAUGCGUAGAGAUCGGAAGGAACAUCUGUGGCGAAGGCGACUAUCUGGGCCAACACUGACACUGAGACACGAAAGCGUGGGGAGCAAACAGGAUUAGAUACCCCCGUAGUCCCUGUCUCUUAUAC
rnacentral:rRNA from 1 species